GACUUUCACAUGAACUGUAAUAAGAUCAGAAUGGACAUUUAUCAUAUUCUUUUCUGCAACACUCCUGCCAACCUCUGACCACAUACAAGCUUGCUAUAGAAACAAGAUUCCUAUUGUCCCCAUGCCUUGAGAAUCACUGUAGAUCCCGAUGUCUGUUUCCUUCUGAUGAAUUGGUGGGGCAACUUUGAUGUAAGGGUCAUUCUCUACUUAUUCAGGGGCUAAUCAAACA
rnacentral:lncRNA from 1 species